rnacentral:lncRNA from 1 species
GGAUGCGGUGCGGUGGUUUCGCCAUGCUACAUGAAUGUGAAUAUGAAUAUUGAUAUGAUGAUGUCGGGAAGUUUUGAAAUUGCCUUCAUUUUCCAAUGAUGGAUUCUUCAUCAAUCUUCAUCUCUUUUUUAAGACUUCACGCAUUAUAGGUGCAGAUGACGCAUAUGAGUAUUUCUGUGAAAAUUCUAGAUCUAACCACACGAUCACAAUUUCAGCCCUUGAUCGAUGGCUUGCCACGACGUCAGUUAAACUUUGCCAUACAUACUGCUUAUUCCGCAAACAUGAAAUGACUGCCAAUUAAGAUUAAUGUUGUGGAUAGCAUGAGAAAAUUAUGUGAUUAAUACGAAACGUGAAUAAAGUGUACUGCAUAUUAGCGUAAAUAUAAACUAUGUAAUAAUGCAAGUAUAUAAAAAUAAUCAAUAUUUUGGCGCUAUAUGACAAUUUAAUUGCAACAUUACCUAUACUCUUAAAAAUAAUACAUUAUUGAAAGGACCAUAUUUUAUAGUGUUACUUGGACAUAUUUUGGUGUUAAAAUUUAUGAAAAAUAAUUAUUAAAUGUCGCAGAUUGCAUAUGCUAAUAUAUUAUACUUAAUGUAAAAGGAUGAUUAAUAUAUUAUAGAAAUAUGCGUAAACGCGUGGUCAAAAGGUCUUUGUAGUCUACGUAGAGAUUUAAUGGACGAUAACCGAUAUUCUAACUAGUCCAUCAGGAAUCGUGGACAUAUCGAUCAAUUUCAGAUGAUAAUUAUCGGUGCACUCACAUGGAACACAGACGCUAUAAUUUUAUUAACUAAUGUAAUACUACGCCACCGAGUCGCCUUUGAUAUUAAUUGUGCAUGCCAUUACAACAUUAUUUGAAUAUAUUUAGCGCAAUCUUUUCUUGAAAUAUUCUGGUACCAUGCAAUAAGUAUUGAAAACAAAAUUUCUUAUUAUAUUAUGUAUACAUAUAUAUUUACAUUAUAUUUUUAUCAAGUUAUUUUCUUGUGUAUGAACUGUGUUAUAUUGUGUGAGUUUAUGCAAUCUAUUGUAUAGAUUGGCUAUAUAUAUAUAUUGACUUAUUAUAUUAUAUUUAUUAAGCUGCUACUUUAAUACUGAUUAAUUUUAUUUCUUCUGAUAUAAACUGUGAUUAAUGUUACAAAAUGUAAUUUUUUUUUUGAUCUAUUAUCAUUCAAUUUUUUACUCUGGAUAUACAUGUGAUUAAAACGUCGCUUCCUUUUUAUCCGUCCAUUUAUAAUAUCUAUUUAUAUUCUAAUAAUAACUUUAUUGAUUAUAUGAUAUACUUAACUCUUUUCUCGCCAAAAAAUAAAGUAUUUCUAACACAUUGCA